rnacentral:rRNA from 1 species
UCCGUAGGUGGCAAGCGUUGUCCGGAUUUAUUGGGUGUAAAGGGUGCGUAGGCGGUCCUGUAAGUCCGUUGUGAAAUACGGCAGCUUAACUGUCGAGGUGCAAUUGAUACUGCAGGGCUUGAGUACUGAUGAGGUAGGCGGAAUGGACGGUGUAGCGGUGAAAGGCUUAGAGAUCGUCCAGAACACCGAUAGCGAAGGCAGCUUACUAAGGAGUAACUGACGCUGAGGCACGAAAGUGUGGGGAUCAAACAGG